UAAUGCUGGCAAAAGAUUGAGAAUCUUUUUUGCUUAUGUUGUUGUUCCAGAGACCAAACUUUGAAAAACACUAUCCCAGAGAAACAAUACCUGGAAUACAGUCAGCUUGCUGGUGGUUUCAAUCAACAAAGAUGGCGGGACGUGAGAAUGACAACAAGCCUGCUGUUUACCGUGUGCAGCAGCAUGGUGUCUGUUCUUCCUCCCGCCCAUGUGGCUAUCUUCUGCACCAGUGGGAAAUUCCAGUCUGCUGUUUUGAAUUCUAUAGAACUAAUCCCUCGGUGCCCCUCAGAGAUAUCAUCCAAUCUUCCUUAGUGGUUUGAGCUCCACCUUGCUGGGUGGCUCCUCUAAGACAGAGGCACCAACCCACUGGCAGCCCACCUCAGAGGGUUGUUUCUACUCUGAGGGACCCUUUUCUUCAUUCUUUUGUUCUCCUAGUACUUGGGUUGCAGCUGCCUGCUGAGGUUACUGUCUGGCUGAUUCCACUUUUGUUCACUCAUCUCAUAAUAAUAUCAGUCUAACAGCUGGAAAAACAUGCUACAUUAAAUUUGCUUUGUUAAAAU
rnacentral:lncRNA from 1 species